CUAGCUGGCUCUACCGGCCAAAUUCCUUGCCAUUUUUGGAGAACUUUACCCUUACCUUCCUUUCCCCAUUACCCAGCACAGUUAUUGAAUUUCCCAUUUAGAAAACGUGAAUUGGAUCAAGGAACGAAUGAUCCUUUGCUUGCUCCUGUCCUCUCCUUUAUGCAUGGCGUCUCCAACAUUAAUCUGACUUCGAAAUCUCUUCCUUACCUACUCUUGCUGUCAUUUAACCCUUUCCUAACCUCUAUUUCAGUCGUGAAUUAGAUUAGGAAAAUAAAAGUUUUGGUAACAGAACCUGCGCGUUCCAAAUUCACAAGCUUCGAUGAAUUCAUCAUGUGGAGGCUGGAUGCUGCCAUUGAGGUGAUUUGAGCCUCUUAUUCUGAUUCACCAUCACCAGCUAGUCUAUUUGUUAGCAAUUAGUGAAGCUCCCAUCCUGCAACAAUCAGUUGUGCCCUUCUUUCAUGCAUAUGUGCGCAUGGGUGUGCAGUUUAAUGACCGUGAGCUUGUGAAAUGCAUCAUGAUAAGACUAAUCUUUAUCAUGAAUUCAUCAAUUAACUGAUGCUAUUUUAAAUCACAUAUUUAGUUAUUCGGCGUUUUGAGUUUCAUUGUGUUUUCUUUCUUUUUUUUUCUUUGUUGUUAUUGUUUUAGUAAUUUGUAAUGAAUCAAAUGAACGGAGCUAAAUUAAAUUUUGAAGAUGGAAUUGCAUGUGAACAUUUUUUUUAGUGUUUAAUUGGACAAUUAGACUUUGAUUAUGGUACCUUAACAGUA